GCUGUGAUCGUAUAGUGGAUAGUACUUUGUGUUGUGGCCGCAGCAAAUCCUGUUCGAAUUCGGGUCACGGCA
rnacentral:tRNA from 1 species